GCCGCCCUCCCCGUCCGCCGCCACACGACGACCGUACCGGUACCGGGGACGGACGGACGAGGUGGGGUAAGUUUAGGUCGCAAGUAGGGGAACCGACGACGCAGCAACGCCGCCGGUGGGAGGGAGUAGGAAAUCCUUGGAUGUAACUCCUUCGAUCGGGACGAUUAUGACGGUACCGGAAGAAGAAGCCCGGCUAACUUCGUGCCAGCAGCCGCGGUAAUAC
rnacentral:rRNA from 1 species